CCUACGGGUGUCAGCAGUGAGGAAUAUUGGUCAAUGGGCGCGAGCCUGAACCAGCCAAGUAGCGUGAAGGAUGACUGCCCUACGGGUUGUAAACUUCUUUUAUCAAGGAAUAAAGUCAGGCACGCGUGCCUUUUUGUGUGUACUUUAUGAAUAAGGAUCGGCUAACUCCGUGCCAGCAGCCGCGGUAAUACGGAGGAUCCGAGCGUUAUCCGGAUUUAUUGGGUUUAAAGGGAGCGUAGAUGGGUUGUUAAGUCAGUUGUGAAAGUCUGCGGCUCAACCGUAAAAUUGCAAUGGAUACUGGCGGUCUUGAGUACAGGAGAGGUAGGCGGAAUUCGUGGUGUAGCGGUGAAAUGCGUAGAUAUCACGAAGAACUCCGAUUGCGAAGGCAGCUUAC
rnacentral:rRNA from 1 species